rnacentral:rRNA from 1 species
UACGUACCGUCCAAACGUUAUUCGGAAUUACUGGGCUUAAAGGGUUUGUAGGCGGCGCUGUUAGUCGGGUGUGAAAUCCCCAGGGCUCAACCCUGGAACUGCGCCCGAUACUGCAGUGCUUGAGGGAGACAGAGGUAAGCGGAACUGAUGGUGGAGCGGUGAAAUGCGUUGAUAUCAUCAGGAACACCGGUGGCGAAGCGGCUUACUGGGUCUCUUCUGACGCUGAGAAACGAAAGCUAGGGGAGCGAAGGGG